CUUUUAUUUUAUUCUAUUCAUUGUUCUGUUCUAUUCUACUCUAUUCCUAUUCUAUUCUAUUAUUCUAUUCAUUCUGUUCUAUUCUACUCUAUUCCUAUUCUGUUCUAUUCCAUUCAUUAUUCCAUUCUUUUAUUCUAUUCUGCUUUUAUUUUAUUCUAUUCAUUGUUCUGCUCUAUUCUUUGUUCUGUUCUACUCUUUAUUCUGUUCUGUUCUAUUCUACUCUAUUCCUAUUCUAUUCUAUUCCUGUCCUGUUCUAUUCCUAUUCUAUUCUAUUCCUGUUCUAUUCCUAUUCUAUUCUAUUCAUUCUGUUCUUUCUGUUCUGUUCUAUUCUACUCUAUUCCUAUUCUAUUCCAUUUCAUUCAUUAUUCCAUUCUACUCUUUUAUUCUAUUCUGCUUUUAUUUUAUUCUAUUCAUUGUUCUGUUCUGUUCUUUGUUCUGUUCUACUCUUUAUUCUGUUCUGUUCUAUUCAUUAUUCUGUUCUGUUCUAUUCUAUUCUACUCUAUUCCUAUUCUAUUCUAUUCCUGUCCUGUUCUAUUCCUAUUCUAUUCAUUCUGUUCUAUUCUUUCUGUUCUGUUCUAUUCUACUCUAUUCCUAUUCUAUUCUAUUCCAUUCAUUAUUCCAUUCUAUUCUUUUAUUCUAUUCUGCUUUUAUUUUAUUCUAUUCAUUGUUCUGUUCUGUUCUUUGUUCUGUUCUACUCUUUAUUCUGUUCUGUUCUAUUCAUUAUUCUGUUCUGUUCUACUCUAUUCCUGUCCUGUUCUAUUCCUAUUCCUAUUCCUAUUCUAUUCUAUUCUAUUCUAUUCUAUUCUAUUCUAUUCUAUUCUAUUCUAUUCUAUUCUAUUCUAUUCUAUUCUAUUCUAUUCUAUUCUUCUAUUCUUUCUAUUCUAUUCUAUUCCAAUUCCAUUCCAUUCUAUAGGCAAGCUGUUCCACUGGUUAAUUGUCCUCACUGUUAGGAACUUUCUCCUUAAUUCCAGGUUGCUUCUUUCCUUGGUUAGUUUCCAUCCAUUGUUUAAUUGUCUUUUUUUAAAAAAGUGCUUUUAUAGAAUAGGUUGACCCCCCUCUUCUUUGGGGCCGCCCCUCAAUUACUGGAAUACAGCUAUUAUGUCACCUUUAGUCCUCCUUUUCUCUGGCCAAACCCAAUUCCUGCAACCUUUCUUCAUGUUUUAAUCUCUGGUCCUUUAAUCAUCUUCUCUGCACUUUUUCCAAAGUCUCAACAUCUUUUUUUUAAUGUAGUGGCGACCAGAAUUGGAU
rnacentral:lncRNA from 1 species